AAAGUCGUAACAAGGUCUCCGUUGGUGAACCAGCGGAGGGAUCAUUACCGAGUUUACAACUCCCAAAAACCCCCUGUGAACAUACCUACGUUGCUUCGGCGGUCCGUCCCGGCGCCCCCUCGCGGGGGCCCGGAACCCAGGCGCCCGCCGGAGGACCCCAAACUCUUGUUUCUAAAACCAGUAUCUUCUGAGUGAAUAAGCAAAUAAAUUAAAACUUUCAACAACGGAUCUCUUGGCUCUG
rnacentral:misc_RNA from 1 species